UUAAGUUAUUAAGGGCGCACGGUGGAUGCCUUGGCACUAGAAGCCGAUGAAGGACGUUACUAACGACGAUAUGCUUUGGGGAGCUGUAAGUAAGCUUUGAUCCAGAGAUUUCCGAAUGGGGAAACCCAGCAUGAGUUAUGUCAUGUUAUCGAUAUGUGAAUACAUAGCAUAUCAGAAGGCACACCCGGAGAACUGAAACAUCUUAGUACCCGGAGGAAGAGAAAGAAAAUUCGAUUCCCUUAGUAGCGGCGAGCGAAACGGGAAGAGCCCAAACCAAAAAGCUUGCUUGUUGGGGUUGUAGGACACUCUAUACGGAGUUACAAAGGACGACAUUAGACGAAUCAUCUGGAAAGAUGAAUCAAAGAAGGUAAUAAUCCUGUAGUCGAAAAUGUUGUCUCUCUUGAGUGGAUCCUGAGUACGACGGAGCACGUGAAAUUCCGUCGGAAUCUGGGAGGACCAUCUCCUAAGGCUAAAUACUCUCUAGUGACCGAUAGUGAACCAGUACCGUGAGGGAAAGGUGAAAAGCACCCCGGAAGGAGAGUGAAAUAGAACCUGAAACCGUGUGCUUACAAGUAGUCAGAGCCCGUUAAUGGGUGAUGGCGUGCCUUUUGUAGAAUGAACCGGCGAGUUACGAUUUGAUGCAAGGUUAAGCAGUAAAUGUGGAGCCGUAGCGAAAGCGAGUCUGAAUAGGGCGUUUAGUAUUUGGUCGUAGACCCGAAACCAGGUGAUCUACCCUUGGUCAGGUUGAAGUUCAGGUAACACUGAAUGGAGGACCGAACCGACUUACGUUGAAAAGUGAGCGGAUGAACUGAGGGUAGCGGAGAAAUUCCAAUCGAACCUGGAGAUAGCUGGUUCUCUCCGAAAUAGCUUUAGGGAUAGCCUCAAGUGAUGAUUAUUGGAGGUAGAGCACUGUUUGGACGAGGGGCCCCUCUCGGGUUACCGAAUUCAGACAAACUCCGAAUGCCAAUUAAUUUAACUUGGGAGUCAGAACAUGGGUGAUAAGGUCCGUGUUCGAAAGGGAAACAGCCCAGACCACCAGCUAAGGUCCCAAAAUAUAUGUUAAGUGGAAAAGGAUGUGGCGUUGCCCAGACAACUAGGAUGUUGGCUUAGAAGCAGCCAUCAUUUAAAGAGUGCGUAAUAGCUCACUAGUCGAGUGACACUGCGCCGAAAAUGUACCGGGGCUAAACAUAUUACCGAAGCUGUGGAUUGUCCUUUGGACAAUGGUAGGAGAGCGUUCUAAGGGCGUUGAAGCAUGAUCGUAAGGACAUGUGGAGCGCUUAGAAGUGAGAAUGCCGGUGUGAGUAGCGAAAGACGGGUGAGAAUCCCGUCCACCGAUUGACUAAGGUUUCCAGAGGAAGGCUCGUCCGCUCUGGGUUAGUCGGGUCCUAAGCUGAGGCCGACAGGCGUAGGCGAUGGAUAACAGGUUGAUAUUCCUGUACCACCUAUAAUCGUUUUAAUCGAUGGGGGGACGCAGUAGGAUAGGCGAAGCGUGCGAUUGGAUUGCACGUCUAAGCAGUAAGGCUGAGUAUUAGGCAAAUCCGGUACUCGUUAAGGCUGAGCUGUGAUGGGGAGAAGACAUUGAGUCUUCGAGUCGUUGAUUUCACACUGCCGAGAAAAGCCUCUAGAUAGAAAAUAGGUGCCCGUACCGCAAACCGACACAGGUAGUCAAGAUGAGAAUUCUAAGGUGAGCGAGCGAACUCUCGUUAAGGAACUCGGCAAAAUGACCCCGUAACUUCGGGAGAAGGGGUGCUCUUUAGGGUUAACGCCCAGAAGAGCCGCAGUGAAUAGGCCCAAGCGACUGUUUAUCAAAAACACAGGUCUCUGCUAAACCGUAAGGUGAUGUAUAGGGGCUGACGCCUGCCCGGUGCUGGAAGGUUAAGAGGAGUGGUUAGCUUCUGCGAAGCUACGAAUCGAAGCCCCAGUAAACGGCGGCCGUAACUAUAACGGUCCUAAGGUAGCGAAAUUCCUUGUCGGGUAAGUUCCGACCCGCACGAAAGGCGUAACGAUUUGGGCACUGUCUCAACGAGAGACUCGGUGAAAUCAUAGUACCUGUGAAGAUGCAGGUUACCCGCGACAGGACGGAAAGACCCCGUGGAGCUUUACUGUAGCCUGAUAUUGAAAUUCGGCACAGCUUGUACAGGAUAGGUAGGAGCCUUUGAAACGUGAGCGCUAGCUUACGUGGAGGCGCUGGUGGGAUACUACCCUAGCUGUGUUGGCUUUCUAACCCGCACCACUUAUCGUGGUGGGAGACAGUGUCA
rnacentral:rRNA from 1 species